rnacentral:rRNA from 1 species
UACGUAGGGUGCAAGCGUUGUCCGGAAUUACUGGGCGUAAAGCGCACGUAGGCGGCUUUGUAAGUUAGAGGUGAAAGCCCAGGGCUCAACCCUGGAAUUGCCUUUAAGACUGCAUCGCUUGAACAUCGGAGAGGUAAGUGGAAUUCCGAGUGUAGAGGUGAAAUUCGUAGAUAUUCGGAAGAACACCAGUGGCGAAGGCGACUUACUGGACGAUUGUUGACGCUGAGGUGCGAAAGCGUGGGGAGCAAACAGG